CACAGUUUUAUUUUUGCUCUGUGUGUAAAAAUUGUUGCCAAAUUUACAUUCCUUAGUUCAUCUUGGCACAGUUACUUCCCCACGCAUGUAAUGUCCACCGCUUUAAUGAAAGUGCUUCCCAUAGGUUUUAAGUUAAAAAUAAAAAGAAAGCUAAAGACAAGAUUUGAGGAACAGGUAUAUAGAUAUUAAGGGUGAAAGCAUAGAAAGCAAAGUGAGAGGCAGAGGGCGACAGAGUCACAGAGAAGAGAGUGCACGACAUUGGAAGCAAAAAGAGAGUGAGAUGGGAAAGAAUUAAAGAGAGAAAGAAUCUGAGAGGAAGACAACUGAUUUUGAUAUGUCAUAUUAUUCACAUUUAUACCUACAGAAAAAGCAACACCAAGACUCAAAACCAGGACCUAUCCUGGAGCAGAACCCUGACUUUUGCGUGUUUAAAACCGUUUCCAAGUGUGUUAUUGUCUUGUUUUGUUAUGCUCAUUGUCUCCUCAUGUUUUAUUUAGAGCACUUUAAUUUGCCAUAGUUUCUUAAAGGUGCAGUGUACAGGUUAACAUAUCAUAAUUAUUAAUAAUAUGUUUAAUGUUUCUGCGAAUUAUAACGUGUAAGGUGGAGCAGCAAUUAAAAUUUUGGGGUUCAAUCAAGUGUUUCUGAUCCAGGUAUGGAGACGGUCUGUUGAGAAAUAAACUAAGGUGUUACCAACAGCUGAAAAUUGCACACAUACUGUACAUAGUUACAUUUUGCUUUAUGUUUAAGCAGGAUUAAGUUAACUCAAUAGGUCAUUUGUGUUUCACUUUGCUGCUGGUUUUGCUUCUCACAAACGUUGAGAAGUUAUUACUGUCUCCUGACACACCCUGUGGUCAGCUUGUUUCAGAAGAGGUUCUCACACAUCUUAGCAUAGCUGAAGUAUGUAGAUGUUACCUUGUGGUUCAUAAUAGUUAAAGUCCAUAGAAUUUUAACGGUUUAUUACUGCAAAGCUUGAUACCUAUAGAUGCUAACCUGAAUAAUAUUAUGGCAAUAGGGCCUUUAAUUUUGCUCACCGUUUUGUUUGACCUAUUAUUGUUUUGUUGCUGACAGAAAAAAAAUCAAACCACUUCCUCCCUCUUUGAAUCUUCUUUGAGAGCAUUCAAAAGCUGAUGGUCAUGUCAGUCUGUUAGUUUCUGUCAAAUGGUUGCCAUGUUUCGCCUGAACCAAGCUGCUCUUCUCACCAUUCAGCUACUAGUUUUGUACCAAAUCCUUCCAGGUAGAGUAGAGAUUCAUAUUUGUUAAUGCAUACUUUUCUUGGGGAUAAACAGGUGAUACGUUUUGUAUUGAUUGGUUGUUUCUUAGGAAUAGCUAACCUGUCUGGAAAAAUGUACACAAAUUGAAUUGAGAUGACUCAGCUGACAGACAGUUUAACAGUAUGUAGUGUAGUGUCAAUGUAGAAUAUAGAUGAUUGCAUCAUGUUACAAUAUGACUUUAAAUGUCAAACACUCACACAGUAACAGCCAGCAUGCACAUCACCAGGGCCAUGAACUGAAGCAGCUGAGAUGGUUUAAGCUUUCUUUUCAUUUUCUGUUAUUCAAAUGAAUAUUGGUCUUUUGUGAUGUGGGUUUCUUUUUAUAAUUUUGAUGCAAAAAACGAAUCAAUGUUGACUCUUCACUGUCAAAAUGAUCAAGACAUGCAGUGUAAUGGUGUUGCGCAAACAAUGCUCAACCCUGUGAAUCUUAAGUCACACCCUGUGGAGACGGUCUGUUUAGAAAUAAACUAAGGUGUUACCUACAGUUGAAAAUUGCAUACAUACUGUAUGUAUGUUCAUUUUGCUUUAUAUUACAGCAUGAUUAAGUUGACUCAAAAGGUGACUUGUGUUACACUUUGCUGCUGUUUUAUUUACUUGUGAAAUCCAUGAUGGUCCAAACGAUGUCACACUUAAUACAUUGAAGCAGCUGAAAACCAUCAAACCGCUUCCUCUUUUCUACAUCCCGUUCAAAAUUACAUUAAAAGGCUUGUGGUGAAAAGUCAGUCAGUCAGUCUCUGUCUGAUGGUCAUCAUGUCUCCCAUGAACCAAGCAGCUCUGCUCUUGUUUCUAUCCACGUACGGAGUCUCUGCAGGUAGAGUAGAGAUUUGUGUUUGUUAUGCAUGCUUCUCUUCAGGCUAAACUGGGGAUAUGUUUUGUAUUGAUUGGUUGUUUCUUUUCCAUUUCUAUGAACAUCAUCCAGUUGUCCUCAGGAACAUGCUGGGUUACAGGGGAUACUCUGUCACACUCGUUUGCAACAACUCAGGGGCAAAUACAACACAAAUCAGCUGGACUAAAGGCAAAUAUCUUUUUGCUUAUUCAAUCCCACUGAAUAAGACUUAUUCAAAUUUCAGCUCCGACAGAGUGAAGAUAGACAUUAGCUCACCUUCACAGCUGAUCAUUAUCAAUGCUCAGGAUGACGAUGAAGGACUCUACUCAUGUAAUGUAGCUCACAGUGAGGGUCUUUCGACUAUUAAUUGGAACUUAACUGUGUCCGAGAGCCCUGCCAAAGAAAACUGAGGCGCAAGACACCGAACCCGAACCCGGCCCAAUCUCCAAACAUGCAGAACUCUGAAGAGCAAAUCGGCGCAGAGAGGAAUAGUCAGUACAUGGAGAGGCUCAACUCAAUCUACAACACCUAAUGAACUGACAUGACUUUAAAUGAAGGAUAAACAUACACUCUGUGUAUUUUUUUUUUCUUAUAUAAAUAAGAGUUUUGACAAUA